rnacentral:lncRNA from 1 species
CAGACUUCUAGCUGAUUUAAUGAAAAAAUCAUAAUCGCAACAGAGCUUUUCUUUUUCCUCCAAAUGUGCAGGUUUUUCGUCAAAAGGUCACUGACUUGGAGUGCAGGAUAAAUACCUUUUCUUCCUGCAGUGGAGACAGUUUGGAAGUCCUGUCAUGUUGUAAGGAAUUGAAAACAAGAUCCAAAGAAACAGAGGGAUGCAGGAGAAGAGUGUAUGCAAGGCUGUAAGGAGAAAGACGGUAAGAAGCUGAUGUCGUGGCGUAAAUGGAACGUGCACACUAUAUAAUAGAGGACUCGUGUUGUUUGACGCUUGCAACUUAAAUGAAAUUCCAACCGCCUCCCCCCGCCCCAACCGCAAGACUUAAAUCUUGUGGAACCUCAGUCCUUG